GACGAACGCUGGCGGCGUGCCUAAUACAUGCAAGUCGAACGGACCUUGCUUGGACGGAGUGGAGUACUUGUACAAAGCGAAGACUAAGCGCUGGUUAGUGGCGAACGGGUGAGUAACACGUAGGUAACCUACCGAUAAGACGAGGACAACUCAUGGAAACGUGAGCUAAUACUGGAUAUGGUAUAGGGAAGGCAUCUUUCUUAUAUUAAAGGAGCUUCUGGCUUCACUUAUUGAUGGACCUGCGGCGUAUUAGCUAGUUGGUGGGAUAGCAGCCUACCAAGGCGAUGAUACGUAGCCGAUCUGAGAGGAUAAACGGCCACACUGGGACUGAGAUACGGCCCAGACUCCUACGGGAGGCAGCAGUAGGGAAUUUUCCACAAUGGACGAAAGUCUGAUGGAGCAACGCCGCGUGUGUGAAGAAGGUUUUCGGAUUGUAAAGCACUGUUGUAUGGGAAGAAUAAGGUGAGAAGGAAAUGGCUCA
rnacentral:rRNA from 1 species